rnacentral:rRNA from 1 species
GACGAACGCUGGCGGCGUGCCUAAUACAUGCAAGUAGAACGCUGAAGGAGGAGCUUGCUUCUCUGGAUGAGUUGCGAACGGGUGAGUAACGCGUAGGUAACCUGCCUGGUAGCGGGGGAUAACUAUUGGAAACGAUAGCUAAUACCGCAUAAGAGUAGAUGUUGCAUGACAUUUGCUUAAAAGGUGCAAUUGCAUCACUACCAGAUGGACCUGCGUUGUAUUAGCUAGUUGGUGGGGUAACGGCUCACCAAGGCGACGAUACAUAGCCGACCUGAGAGGGUGAUCGGCCACACUGGGAAUGAGACACGGCCCAGACUCCUACGGGAGGCAGCAGUAGGGAAUCUUCGGCAAUGGACGGAAGUCUGACCGAGCAACGCCGCGUGAGUGAAGAAGGUUUUCGGAUCGUAAAGCUCUGUUGUAAGAGAAGAACGAGUGUGAGAGUGGAAAGUUCACACUGUGACGGUAUCUUACCAGAAAGGGACGGCUAACUACGUG